UACGUAGGGUCCAAGCGUUGUCCGGAUUUAUUGGGCGUAAAGAGCUCGUAGGCGGUUUGUCGCGUCUGCCGUGAAAGUCCGGGGCUCAACUCCGGAUCUGCGGUGGGUACGGGCAGACUAGAGUGAUGUAGGGGAGACUGGAAUUCCUGGUGUAGCGGUGAAAUGCGCAGAUAUCAGGAGGAACACCGAUGGCGAAGGCAGGUCUCUGGGCAUUAACUGACGCUGAGGAGCGAAAGCAUGGGGAGCGAACAGG
rnacentral:rRNA from 1 species